rnacentral:rRNA from 1 species
UGGGCAACCUGCCCUCAGCUCUGGGGUAACUCCAAGAAAUUGGGGCUAAUACCGGAUAUGACUGCUGACCGCAUGGUCUGGUGGUAGAAAGAUUUAUCGGCUGGGGAUGGGCCCGCGGCCUAUCAGCUUGUUGGUGGGGUGAAGGCCUACCAAGGCGACGACGGGUAGCCGGCCUGAGAGGGUGACCGGCCACACUGGGACUGAGACACGGCCCAGACUCCUACGGGA